GGGCCCGGCGCCCUCCCUCUCCCACUUCUUCUCCCAUCAGGAACCAGCCGGAGGCCGCCAGGGUGCUCCUGAAUGCUGGGUGCCGGGCGGAUGCUCUCAACAGCACUCAGAGCACAGCGCUGCACGUGGCCGUGCAGAGGGGCUUCCUGGAGGUGGUGCGCGCUCUGUGUGAGCGCGGCUGUGACGUCAACCUGCCCGACGCCCACUCGGACACGCCCCUGCACUCCGCCAUCUCGGCGGGCACUGGAGCCAGCGGCAUUGUCGAGGUCCUCACGGAGGUGCCAAACAUCGAUGUCACCGCCACCAACAGCCAGGGUUUCACCCUGCUUCACCAUGCCUCCCUCAAGGGCCAUGCGCUAGCUGUGAGAAAGAUUCUGGCUCGGGCGCGGCAGCUGGUGGACGCCAAGAAGGAGGACGGCUUCACGGCGCUGCACCUGGCCGCGCUCAACAACCACCGCGAGGUGGCGCAGAUCCUCAUCCGGGAGGGCCGCUGUGACGUGAAUGUGCGCAACCGGAAGCUGCAGUCCCCGCUGCAUCUAGCCGUGCAGCAGGCCCACGUGGGGCUGGUGCCACUACUGGUGGACGCUGGGUGCAGUGUCAACGCCGAGGACGAGGAGGGGGACACAGCCCUGCACGUGGCGCUGCAGCGUCAUCAGCUGCUGCCCCUGGUGGCUGAUGGUGCCGGGGGGGACCCAGGGCCCUUGCAGCUGCUGUCCAGGCUGCAGGCCUCGGGCCUCCCUGGCAGCGCGGAGCUGACGGUGGGCGCGGCGGUCGCCUGCUUCCUGGCGCUGGAGGGCGCCGACGUGAGCUACACCAACCACCGCGGCCGGAGCCCGCUGGACCUGGCCGCCGAGGGC
rnacentral:sRNA from 1 species